rnacentral:rRNA from 1 species
CAACUUUCAACAACGGAUCUCCUUGGCUCUCGCAUCGAUGAAGAACGCAGCGAAAUGCGAUACGUAAUGUGAAUUGCAGAAUUCAGUGAAUCAUCGAAUCUUUGAACGCACCUUGCGCCCCUUGGUAUUCCGAGGGGCACACCCGUUUGAGUGUCGUG